CUCAAAUUACAGCCGUACUUCCAGUCCUCUGUCGUCAAUCGCCCCUGCGCCAAGCUCGCCUACAAGUUCUACAGGCCCUUCAAGGUGGACGCCAAGAUCGGAGCGCUCGCCUACCAAUUGGUUCUUCCGCCAGAAAGCCGCAUCCACAACGUCUUCCACGUCUCUCAGCUCAAGCCCUAUACCCCCAGCUAUACGCAUGUCUUCGCCGAGCUGCCCAAGCCACCGGACCUGUCCCUGGACGAGACGGCGCCCGUGGAGAUCCUGGACAGGCGAAUGGUCAAGCGCGGCAACGCCGCCCUGGUACAGCUGCAAGUACGCUGGUCUUCGUCUUCUCCUUCAGCCACGACAUGGGAGGAUUAUGACACCCUAAAGCUUCGCUUUCCGACGGCGACGAUCUGGCAGGGAGCGGCCGGAGCGCCAAGUGACGCUCCUUCUGAAGGAGGGGAAAAUGUCACACCCGCACCUACAAGUGCCAGGGUGGACUGCAUCGACGAAUAG
rnacentral:rRNA from 1 species